rnacentral:rRNA from 1 species
AGUGAACGCUGGCGGUAGGCCUAACACAUGCAAGUCGAACGGCAGCACAGAGGAGCUUGCUCCUUGGGUGGCGAGUGGCGGACGGGUGAGGAAUACAUCGGAAUCUACUCUGUCGUGGGGGAUAACGUAGGGAAACUUACGCUAAUACCGCAUACGACCUACGGGUGAAAGCAGGGGAUCUUCGGACCUUGCGCGAUUGACUGAGCCGAUGUCGGAGUAGCUAGUUGGCGGGGGUAAAGGCCCACCAAGGCGACGAUCCGUAGCUGGUCGGAGAGGAUGAUCAGCCACACUGGAACUGAGACACGGACCAGACUCCUACGGGAGGCAGCAGUGGGGAAUAUUGGACAAUGGGCGCAAGCCUGAUCCAGCCAUACCGCGUGGGUGAAGAAGGCCUUCGGGUUGUAAAGCCCCUUUGUUGGGAAAGAAAUCCAGCUGGCUAAUACCCGGUUGGGAUGACGGUACCCAAAGAAUAAGCACCGGCUAACUUCGUGCCAGCCGCCGCCGUAA